AACGAACGCUGGCGGCGUGCCUAACACAUGCAAGUCGUGCGAGAAAGUUUCCUUCGGGAGGCGAGUACAGCGGCGCACGGGUGAGUAACACGUAGGUAACCUACCUCGUAGUCCGGAAUAACUAGGGGAAACCCUUGCUAAUGCCGGAUAAGACCACGGCCACCUCGGUGGCUGCGGCCAAAGGCGGCCUCUACUUGUAAGCUGUCGCUAUGAGAUGGGCCUGCGGCCCAUUAGCUUGUUGGUAGGGUAACGGCCUACCAAGGCUGUGAUGGGUAGCUGGUCUGAGAGGAUGAUCAGCCACACUGGGACUGAGACACGGCCCAGACUCCUACGGGAGGCAGCAGUGGGGAAUAUUGCGCAAUGGGGGAAACCCUGACGCAGCGACGCCGCGUGGGUGAUGAAGGCCUUCGGGUCGUAAAGCCCUGUCGUAAGGGAAGAAAUGUUGGAUGGUUAAUAUCCAUUCAGCUUGACGGUACCUUACAAGAAAGCACCGGCUAACUCCGUGCCAGCAGCCGCGGUAAUACGGAGGGUGCAAGCGUUGUUCGGAAUCACUGGGCGUAAAGCGCGUGCAGGCGGCUGGUUAAGUCUGGUGUGAAAGCCCGGGGCUCACCCCCGGAAGUGCGCUGGAAACUGGCCAGCUAGAGUAUGGGAGAGGGAAGUGGAAUUCCUGGUGUAGCGGUGAAAUGCGUAGAUAUCAGGAGGAACACCGGCGGCGAAGGCAGCCCCCUGGGUCAACACUGACGCUCAGGCACGAAAGCAUGGGGAGCAAACAGGAUUAGAUACCCUGGUAGUCCAUGCCCUAAACGAUGUCAACUAGUUGUCGGGUCUUAACGGGCUUGGUAACGUAGCUAACGCGUGAAGUUGACCGCCUGGGGAGUACGAUCGCAAGAUUAAAACUCAAAGGAAUUGACGGGGACCCGCACAAGCGGUGGAUUAUGUGGAUUAAUUCGAUGCAACGCGAAAAACCUUACCUACCCUUGACAUGUAUUGAAACCCGCAGAGAUGUGGGUGUGCCCGAAAGGGAACGAUAACACAGGUGCUGCAUGGCUGUCGUCAGCUCGUGUCGUGAGAUGUUGGGUUAAGUCCCGCAACGAGCGCAACCCUUGUCAUUAGUUGCCAUCAUUGGGCACUUUAAUGAGACUGCCGGUGAUAAACCGGAGGAAGGUGGGGAUGACGUCAAGUCCUCAUGGCCCUUAUGGGUAGGGCUUCACACGUAAUACAAUGGCGCGUACAGAGGGUUGCCAAGCCGCGAGGUGGAGCUAAUCUCAGAAAGAGCGCGUCGUAGUCCGGAUUGCACUCUGCAACUCGAGUGCAUGAAGUCGGAAUCGCUAGUAAUCGCGGAUCAGAAUGUCGCGGUGAAUACGUUCCCGGGUCUUGUACACACCGCCCGUCACACCAUGGGAGUGGGUUCCACCAGAAGCAGGUAGUCUAACCGCAAGGAGGACGCUUGCCACGGUGGGAUUCAUGACUGGGGUG
rnacentral:rRNA from 1 species